UACAGGGGGGGCAAGCGUUGUUCGGAAUUACUGGGCAUAAAGGGCCAGUAGGCGGCCAACUAAGUCCGACGUGAAAUCCCCAGGCUUAACCUGGGAACUGCGUCGGAUACUGGAUGGCUUGAAUUCGGGAGAGGGAUGGCAGAAUUCCAGGUGUAGCGGUGAAAUGCGCAGAUAUCAGGAGGAACACCAGGUGGCGAAGGCGGGCUUACUGG
rnacentral:rRNA from 1 species